rnacentral:rRNA from 1 species
UACGUAGGGUGCAAGCGUUGUCCGGAAUUAUUGGGCGUAAAGAGCUCGUAGGCGGUCUGUCGCGUCUGCUGUGAAAACCUAGGGCUUAACCCUGGGCCUGCAGUGGGUACGGGCAGACUAGAGUGCGGUAGGGGAGACUGGAAUUCCGGGUGUAGCGGUGAAAUGCGCAGAUAUCAGGAGGAACACCGGUGGCGAAGGCGGGUCUCUGGGCCGUAACUGACGCUGAGGAGCGAAAAGCAUGGGGAGCGAACAGG